GCAAUGAAACGGUUGUCUGAGCGGAAGACCCCUCAAAGUACAGAAGGCCGGGCCACCAUUUAAGGCAAAUACUUUAACAACAUAGAAAUCUUAACACUUUAGUGCCAAACGCAAAAGUAAACAAAUAAAAAAAAUAUACAAGCGACAAUAAAUAUUUAGCAAAAACAAAACAAAAGCCAACAAUAAAAAGAAGAGAGAUAAACAAAAAAGAAAAACAAUAAUAAAAAGAAAAUAAAUUUCAAAAUCCAGUGUGGUGCAGCUGUGGUGGUGAAAUUGCAUUUAAGAAUGCAAAAAAAUAAUAAAAAAAUAGUUUUUUAUUGUUUAUUAUAAAACAAAAUAUAAAUAAAUGCAAGUGUUAAUUAGAAAAACUAAGUGCUCAGUCAAACAGCAUGAGGAGAAAAAUCCUUGUUACAAAAAACAUCAUCAGUCAUAUUUCAUUUCUCUGGCGUAGUCCAUGCCACCAGCUCGCUAAAUGCUAAAAGCUUCCGCGAAUAAUUGAUUGUUUCCGGUAAAAGUAAUUUUCAUUUGUUUUGGACAGCACUAAAACCCCCCUCUCAAUUCCACUACCACAAAGUAUCGUCGUUUUGUGUGCGAAAAACCAUUUUCCGUUUUUGGUUGUCCUUUUGUUUUUGUUACAAGAAUUACAGCAUUCGUGGUUGCACCGCACCGCAUCGCAUUGCAAGUGAAUACAAAAGAGCGGACUGCAUUUCGCGCGUGAUUGUUGAAUUUUGAAACGAAGACACGCAUAACGCCUUUCGUUUAUGUGGCGCCCCAGCCAUUGAAAGCACCUAUAGAGAAACCCCUUCCACACGCCGCAUAUGUGCUGAUGCAACCCCCCACUGUGAACUCAUUGUCUAUUACCACAAUACGUUGCAAGGCUUAAUUAGCACUUUCUGCAUCUACGGCUAAUGAGUACAGAUUUUUCAGAGGCUGUUCUCUUAAAGAAAUGUCCAUUAUGAAGAAUUUGCAACUUGUUCACUGAUUCCAUUUAAAAAUUACUUGGAUGCCAAGUAAUCCUGCAGGCUGCAAGCUCA